GCGAGGGAGGGAAUUGAUCUUUACCCGGACUCAAAGCUGGAGCCGAGGGAGUGCAGGGGAUUUGGGGUUCUGAAAGGGACUCGGAGCGUGUGUGCUGAGUGGGGAGCCUGUGGGCUUCCUGGCCCGCUUCGCUAAGCCUCGCGACCUUGCAGGAAUCUUCAUGCCUGAGAUCCGCCCGAGCCCGGGCUUUGGAGAAAGUGGCGGCCGCUACGUCCUGGUCUUUAAAAUGAACGCAAAGAAAGGAGGCAAAGCUGAAACCUUGUCGCGUGUCAGAAGCAAGCUGCCGUGAAAUCUACUAAUGAGCACCGACUCGCCCUUCGCGUCUGUUGUGUUUCCUUUCUGAGAUACUCAUUGCUUGUGGACCCUGUGGUGAUGAGGCCGUGGAUCCAGUUCUUGUGUGUGGGAGGAGGGGCAUGCUCCUCUGAAACACGAACUUCAUUGUGGACUUCAAAAGAGAUUUUUCUCGAUAGCAGGAAGUUUGGGUUUGGUCUAACUAUCCGGAGAUCGGUUUCAACUUACGUCCUGAAAUAGAGCUAAGGCUCAACAGGGUACUUUAGUGGUUAUAGCCUCUGAGAUUCAUUUUUAUUUUCCCCAUUCAAUUAAUAAAAUAAAGUAAAAUACAAAACGAUCACGGAGAAGCCUUGCGGAUGUCAGGAGGUCCGCAGGACACUGCGAGGCCCUAGAAACUCUUCCCAGAGGAUAAACACCCCCAGGCGUCAACCAGAUGAACCUUGGCAGUAGCCAAACCCUAUCUGAGAAGCUUCACGCGGGUCGGGCACCAGCCAGGAACCGCUCAAGCGCAGGUGGACCCUCAGCUCACCUGCCCCUCCUUCUUCAAAAACAGGAUUCCUUGGUGUUGGUACCAAAGUUAACUGGCCCCUUUUUCUAUGAAAGUCUAGGG